rnacentral:rRNA from 1 species
UAACUGCCCUUGGGACCGGCAUAACCCCGGGAAACUGGGGAUAAUUCCGGAUACCGCAUAUAUGCUGGAAUGCUUUAUGCGUGAAAUGGAUUCGUCUGCCCAAGGAUGGGUCUGCGGCCUAUCAGGUAGUAGUGGGUGUAAUGUACCUACUAGCCUACAACGGGUACGGGUUGUGAGAGCAAGAGCCCGGAGAUGGAUUCUGAGACAUGAAUCCAGGCCCUACGGGGCGCAGCAGGCGCGAAAACUUUACAAUGCGGGAAACCGUGAUAAGGGGACACCGAGUGCCAGCAUCAUAUGCUGGCUGUCCAGGUGUGUAAAAUACACCUGUUAGCAAGGGCCGGGCAAGACCGGUGCCAGCCGCCGCGGUAACACCGGCGGCCCGAGUGGUGAUCGUGAUUAUUGGGUCUAAAGGGUCCGUAGCCGGUUUGGUCAGUCCUCCGGGAAAUCUGACAGCUCAACUGUUAGGCUUUCGGGGGAUACUGCCAGACUUGGAACCGGGAGAGGUAAGAGGUACUACAGGGGUAGGAGUGAAAUCUUGUAAUCCCUGUGGGACCACCUGUGGCGAAGGCGUCUUACCAGAACGGGUUCGACGGUGAGGGACGAAAGCUGGGGGCACGAACCGGAUUAGAUACCCGGGUAGUCCCAGCCGUAAACGAUGCUCGCUAGGUGUCAGGCAUGGCGCGACCGUGUCUGGUGCCGCAGGGAAGCCGUGAAGCGAGCCACCUGGGAAGUACGGCCGCA